rnacentral:rRNA from 1 species
CAUCAAUGAAAUUCCAUUCUUCUUGAAAAGGACUUCUAAAGUAAAAAAGCAAUUUUUUUUUUAAGACCUCAAAUCAGGUGGGACUACCCGCUGAACUUAAGCAUAUCAAUAAGCGGAGGAAAAGAAACUAACAAGGAUUCCCUUAGUAACGGCGAGUGAAGAGGGAAAAGCCCAAAUUUGUAAUCUAACUCCUUUAACAAGAGUUAGAGUUGUAAUUUUGAGAACUGUUUUCUGUGCUGGACCGUGUACAAGUCUCCUG